AGUGAACGCUGGCGGCAGGCCUAACACAUGCAAGUCGAACGGCAGCAUUGUACGGGCUCGUUCUACCGGGUGGCGAGUGGCGGACGGGUGGGGGAUACAUCCGUAGCUACUUUUUCUGGGGGCGGGGCAUAGGGAAUCGUACCGAAAUCUAGUAUAGGAUCUAAUUGUGUAUUCAAGGGAUCUUGGGUGAUUGCUCGAUUGGAUGAGCUGCUAUCUGAUUAGAUGUUGGAUUGGCUAGUUGGUGGGCAAAAGGCCCACCAAGGGGACGAUCCGUAGCAGGUCUGAGAGGAGGAUCAGCCACACUGGAACUGAGACACGGCCCAGACUCCUACGGGAGGAAGCAGUGGGGAAUAUUGGACAUUGGGCGAAAGCCUGAUCCAGACAUACCGCGUGGGUGAAGAAGGCCUUCGGGUUUUAAAGCCCGUUUGUUGGGAAGGAAGGGCAGCAGGUUAAUACCCCGCUGUUCUGACGGUACCCAAAGAAUAAGCACCGGCUAACUUCGUG
rnacentral:rRNA from 1 species